GACGUAGGGUCCAAGCGUUAUCCGGAUUUACUGGGCGUAAAGCGCGCGUAGGCGGUCUGUUAAGUGCACAAGUGAAAGCUCCGGGCUCAACUCGGAAAUUGCUUUGCAUACUGGCAGGCUGGAGGGACGCAGAGGUCUGUGGAAUUCCUGGUGUAACGGUGAAAUGUGUUGAUAUCAGGAGGAACACCCAUGGCGAAGGCAGCAGACUGGGCGUUUCCUGACGCUGAGGUGCGAAAGCGUGGGGAGCAAACAGG
rnacentral:rRNA from 1 species